rnacentral:rRNA from 1 species
GGUUAAGUGAACAAGGGCGCAUGGCGGAUGCCUUGGCACUAGAAGUCGAUGAAGGACGGAACUAACACCGAUAUGCUUCGGGGAGCUGUAAGUAAGCGUUGAUCCGAAGAUUUCCGAAUGGGGGAACCCACUAUUCGUAAUGGAAUAGUACACUUGCGUGAAUACAUAGCGCAAUGUGAGACAGACCCGGAGAACUGAAACAUCUAAGUACCCGGAGGAAGAGAAAGAAAAAUCGAUUCCCUUAGUAGCGGCGAGCGAACAGGGAAGAGCCCAAACCGAGAAGCUUGCUUCUCGGGGUUGUAGGACACUCUACAUAGAGUUACAAAAGAAUUUGUUAAAUGAAGCGACCUGGAAAGGUCCACCGCAGAAGGUAAUAGUCCUGUAGUUGAAAGCAAAUUCACUCUUGAGUGGAUCCUGAGUACGGCGGAACACGUGAAAUUCCGUCGGAAUCUGGGAGGACCAUCUCCCAAGGCUAAAUACUCUCUAGUGACCGAUAGUGAACCAGUACCGUGAGGGAAAGGUGAAAAGCACCCCGGAAGGGGAGUGAAAAAGAUCCUGAAACCAUGUGCCUACAAGUAGUCAGAGCCCGUUAAUGGGUGAUGGCGUGCCUUUUGUAGAAUGAACCGGCGAGUUACGAUAUCGUGCAAGGUUAAGCAGUGAAUGUGGAGCCGCAGCGAAAGCGAGUCUGAAUAGGGCGAAUAAGUACGGUGUCGUAGACCCGAAACCAGGUGAUCUACCCAUGUCCAGGGUGAAGGUAAGGUAAUACUUACUGGAGGCCCGAACCCACGUAUGUUGAAAAAUGCGGGGAUGAGGUGUGGGUAGCGGUGAAAUUCCAAUCGAACCUGGAAAUAGCUGGUUCUCUCCGAAAUAGCUUUAGGGCUAGCCUCGAACAAUUGAAUCUCGGAGGUAGAGCACUGUUUGGACUAGGGGCCCAUCCCGGGUUACCGAAUUCAGACAAACUCCGAAUGCCGAUGAUUUAAGUUCGGGAGUCAGACUGUGGGUGAUAAGAUCCAUCGUCGAGAGGGGAACAGCCCAGACCGCCGAUUAAGGUCCCUAAAUAUCUGUUAAGUGGAAAAGGAUGUGGCGUUGCCCAGACAACCAGGAUGUUGGCUUAGAAGCAGCCACCAUUUAAAGAGUGCGUAAUAGCUCACUGGUCGAGUGGCGCUGCGCCGAAAAUGUACCGGGGCUAAACAGAUUACCGAAAUCGCGGAUUGAUACCUAUGGUAUCAGUGGUAGGAGAGCGUUCUAAGGGCGUCGAAGCAUGAUCGUAAGAACGUGUGGAGCGCUUAGAAGUGAGAAUGCCGGUAUGAGUAGCGAAAGACAAGUGAGAAUCUUGUCCACCGAAUACCUAAGGUUUCCUGAGGAAGGCUCGUCCGCUCAGGGUUAGUCGGGUCCUAAGCCGAGGCUGAAAAGCGUAGGCGAUGGCCAACAGGUUGAUAUUCCUGUACCACCUCCCCGCCGCUUGAGUGAUGGGGGGACGCAGUAAGAUAGGGUAAGCGCACCGUUGGUUGUGUGCGUCGAAGCAGUGAGGUGUGAAACGAGGCAAAUCCCGUUUCUCUAACAUUGAGCUGUGAUCGCGAGGCAAUUGUGCCGAAGUUCCUGAUUCUACGCUGCCAAGAAAAGCCUCUAACGAGGCGGGAGGUGCCCGUACCGCAAACCGACACAGGUAGGUGAGGAGAGAAUCCUAAGGUGAUCGAGUGAACUCUCGUUAAGGAACUCGGCAAAAUGACCCCGUAACUUCGGGAGAAGGGGUGCUCUGUUAGGGUGAAAGCCCGAGAGAGCCGCAGUGAAUAGGCCCAGGCGACUGUUUAGCAAAAACACAGGUCUCUGCAAAACCGUAAGGUGACGUAUAGGGGCUGACGCCUGCCCGGUGCUGGAAGGUUAAGAGGAAGGGUUAGCUUCGGCGAAGCUCUGAAUUGAAGCCCCAGUAAACGGCGGCCGUAACUAUAACGGUCCUAAGGUAGCGAAAUUCCUUGUCGGGUAAGUUCCGACCCGCACGAAAGGCGUAACGAUCUGGGCACUGUCUCAACGAGAGACUCGGUGAAAUUAUACUCUGCGUGAAGAUGCGCAGUACCCGCGACAGGACGGAAAGACCCCGUGGAGCUUUACUGUAACCUGAUAUUGAAUUUCGGUUCAGUCUGUACAGGAUAGGUAGGAGCCUUAGAACUCGGAGCGCCAGCUUCGAGGGAGGCGUUGGUGGGAUACUACCCUGACUGAAUUGAAAUUCUAACCCAUACCCCUUAGCGGGGUAGGCGACAGUGUCAGGCGGGCAGUUUGACUGGGGCGGUCGCCUCCUAAAGUGUAACGGAGGCGCCCAAAGGUUCCCUCAGAAUGGUUGGACAUCAUUCGUAGAGUGCAAAGGCAUAAGGGAGCUUGACUGCGAGACCUACAAGUCGAGCAGGGUCGAAAGACGGGCUUAGUGAUCCGGUGGUUCCGCAUGGAAGGGCCAUCGCUCAACGGAUAAAAGCUACCCCGGGGAUAACAGGCUUAUCUCCCCCAAGAGUUCACAUCGACGGGGAGGUUUGGCACCUCGAUGUCGGCUCAUCGCAUCCUGGAGCUGUAGUCGGUUCCAAGGGUUGGGCUGUUCGCCCAUUAAAGCGGUACGCGAGCUGGGUUCAGAACGUCGUGAGACAGUUCGGUCCCUAUCCGUCGUGGGCGUUGGAAAUUUGAGAGGAGCUGUCCUUAGUACGAGAGGACCGGGAUGGACACACCGCUGGUGUACCAGUUGUCUUGCCAAAGGCAUCGCUGGGUAGCUACGUGUGGACGGGAUAAAUGCUGAAAGCAUCUAAGCAUGAAGCCCCCCUCAAGAUGAGAUUUCCCAUUGUUUCAAACAAGUAAGAUCCCUCAAAGAUGAUGAGGUAGAUAGGUCUCGGGUGGAAGUGUGGCGACAUACGGAGCUGAGAGAUACUAAUCGAUCGAGGACUUAACCUA